GUUUCUGUGGUGUAGCGGUUAUCACGUUCGCCUCACACGCGAAAGGUCCCUGGUUCGAAGCCAGGCAGAAACA